UUCCUGCUAUUUCCAGCAAAGCGGGAGAAGAGCCGCUGAGUGGGGAGGAGGGAGAGAAGCAGAACCUGCUUGCUUUAAAGGAGCCAACCGGACAGGAGCCGCUUACACUCGUGUAGGCAGCUCCUCUCCCCUCCCGCUUUGCUCCUUUAAAGAAGCAGGCACUCUGUCCCUCUCUCCUCCCCAUUCAGCGGCUCUUCUCCCGCUGGAAACCACGGAGGA
rnacentral:miRNA from 1 species